CAAUCCAUCUUUAACUUUGUUUAUCUGUGGCGAUUAGCCAAAUAUAUUACCCUGAAAACGUGAGUGUCGGGAGGUGGAGAGAGUUUGUAACCUGACUGUUAAUAAAGAACGCGAAAAGAACAGUUACACUCAAUUACUAGAUAGCAGAAAAGGCGACCAGAUGAACACAUAAACAACCCACUCAUGCUGCACUCUGAACCAGAGUUUUCUCGCUGCAGCUAGAGUCUUAACACUGCCGGUUCACAUAAGAUCAGACUUCAAGGUAAUGCUGAUGACACACAAAUCAGUACAAGGCCUUGCUCCGUCACACACGUCAGAUCUCGUUUCACUCUGAAUCCAGAGAAGCAAUGCGUUUAUUCUAAGUAACAUUGCAUUUCUCUACCUUCUGUUUUUCAUCCUCCUCCUCUUUUUUCAUUCAGGCUCUCCUUAUAUCUCUAUUUCUGUAAAAUGUGACGCCUCUUCACUCUGAUGCUAACAAUCUCGUGUGGCCGGCCCUCUUUCCAGGUCAUCACCACGGUGGAGAGGAGGUCACGUGGCUCAGGCACCUCUUGGCGACGCCUCGGCCUGCUCACUCGUCCUCCUGGAUUCACAGACUUCAUAUAUAUUACACACGCUGUAUCAAAUAUUCUGUCAUUGCAGAUUGUAAACUUUGAUUUUACUGUUCUGUUCUGUACCAGCGACAUCUAUUUCAUGUCUGUCCGUCCUGGGAGACAUCCCUCCUCUGUGGCUCUUCCUGAGGUUUCUUCCAUCAAAAUCAGUAUGCUGCCCAAAGGCCUUGGAGGACCAUAAAGUCAGAGACCCAUCCAUGGAGGAGGCUGUUGGAAAGACCCCCACCCAAUAAACAGUUCAUCCCCACCUGACCACAACAGCUCCAAGGGGAAAUGUUUUUUGACCAGACAAGUCUACCAAACCUUUUUGCCAAGCUCUUUGGACUGGGAGGAUUUGCCUUUCUCUGAAAGUCUGACUGAGUUUUUGUGUGAGGGUUAAGUCAAGAACUAAGUCAAGAACUUACCAAUUACCUCAUCUCCUGUUUGUCAAACUAACACAGAGAUAACUUGUGACUGCAACUGUCAUUUUCUCUUUCUGACUGCUCUCCUCUCGAUCGGCUGUAAAGCAAGUUUGUUAGUGAUUGAGUACUGCUGCUACAUCCUAGGACCAAAUUAAAGUAUCAAAUUCUUGACAGA